GGAGACAAAAGAGUAAAAGUUAUGCCUCUAUAUUUUUGGUAAUCUUCAUCGUUUCUUCUAAGAAAACACUUUCUCCACCAUUCAAUAACUUUUGGUACCUCACCGCUCCAUACACCCACCAUCAUCAUCAACAUCCCACUUCCAUUUAUCUUCCGACUACCCAACUGAACAACCAUAAAGCCGUUUUCACCGAGCCACUGCUAUCUCCCUUCCGUCAUCGCUACCAACACCAAAAUCGAUACUCCCUCCGUAAAGACCUAUGUCCUUCAUCUCUAGAUCGCUCUUCCGCUCACCUCAAUGUCACUGUUUGCACCACCAUCAGACGGUCUCCAACCAACAUAACCCUUCAUCUUCAUCUGUCACUACAUGCACCCUCUGAUUCCAGCCUUCCAUGUUCUUCUACAUCAUCAAUCCAUUAUGCUCCCUCCGCCGGAUUCUCUAUAACGCUCACACGACACCUUUUCCUCCAACCAAACAUUAUCCAGCAGCUCACCCUGUUCAUCUUCAUCGGCGUCUUCACCAGUAGUUCUCGCAACAGAACUGUCUAUUUCCCUCUGUUCAAGCACAACUCAAACUUUGUUCGCUCAAAACUGCACCCUCCGUCGUAA